GGCUACGUAGCUCAGCUGGUUAGAGCACAUCACUCAUAAUGAUGGGGGGGUCACAGGUUCGAAUCCCGUCGUAGCCA
rnacentral:tRNA from 1 species